rnacentral:rRNA from 1 species
CCUACGGGAGGCUGCAGUGGGGAAUAUUGGACAAUGGGGGGAACCCUGAUCCAGCGACGCCGCGUGAGUGAAGAAGUAUUUCUGUAUGUAAAGCUCUAUCAGCAGGGAAGAAAGACAUGACGGUCCCUGACUCAUAAGCCCCGGCUAACUACGUGCCAGCAGCCGCGGUAAUACGUAGGGGGCAAGCGUUAUCCGGAUUUACUGGGUGUAAAGGGAGCGUAGACGGUUACGCAAGUCUGGAGUGAAAGGCGGGGGCCCAACCCCCGGACUGCUUUGGAACCUGUAGAACUGGAGUACAGGAGAGGUAAGUGGAAUUCCUAGUGUAGCGGUGAAAUGCGUAGAUAUUAGGAGGAACACCAGUGGCGAAGGCGGCUUACUGGACUGUAACUGACGUUGAGGCUCGAAAGCGUGGGGAGCAAACAGGAUUAGAUACCCGAGUAGUC